GGUAAAACUGACCCGGAUGAGUUUAAGAAAAACAACUAUCCAAACCCUCAAAGCCAUGAGGACCCUAGCAAGAAAUCUCGGGGUUUCAAACUAUCCCGUGAGCUAUCAAUAAAGUGGGUGGAAAGAGCUUUGUCAGCUUGGAGAGGCCACUUUCGUCACCAGCAAUUAAACAAACCCAUCUCCUCCGUAGCAAGACUCUUUUGAGUUCUUUCGAACACUUUUUUGACACUUCUGGCGCCCUUACAGCCCUGUUGCUAAGCCCUCGACUAUACCUUUUGGUUAUAUGUCGAGGAGAACACUUGCAGUACCCUUCAUCAAAACACCGAGGCCCUCAAAGCCAUUGACAGCCAGUACUAGGACUACAUCUGAAGUGGAUGCCAGGCCUUCUGUGCCUCCUGAAAGUCAUCAUGAUUAAAAGAGAUUCGACACACAUCUAUUUAUACUAUUAGUUUUGUUGAAAUUCUAUAGCUAAUUGAUAAAUUAUAUCUCGCUGAAGGUUAAAAUUCAAAGUUUUCAGAUUUUAAUGGACCACUCAAUAUAUAUGAAGUGAAAAAAAUAAAUUGGGACUUUCUAUUUUACUUGAUCUUUGUUCAAGAUUGUUUUUAUAUUGACACGCCACAUAUUGAGAACAAAUGUGGCCCUUUGUGGAGUGGCACAUCAUUUUUACCGACUCUAACAUGGGAUACCUUUUGUUGUAAAGAAAAAUAGUGGCAUUUCCAUGGCCUUUUCCUAAAAUGUGUCUAUAUUUCACUUAGUGGAUUACUUGGAGGAUUUAGUGGAUUUUUAUAAGAAAAUGUGUACCUAUAUAUAUUUUUUCAAAUAUGUUCUAAGUUAGUUUUUUUUAUAAAUAUUUAUGCCACACAUAAUCCAAACUUAACGUUUGAAUUUUAAAAUAGAGAGAAAUAAUUAAUAAAAACACUAAUAUCUUGAAGGUUAUCAGUAUAAACUGUAUUUUUAUAUGCAUGUUGACGAAGAUUUUAACAAUUUUCACAUCCCUAACUAUAUUAUAGAUUUACUUUAAGUCGUUUCCUGAAUAAACUAACUCCAGAAGAAGCUCUUAUUGAUUCCUUGGGAUGUUAAAAUUAUCCAAAUCCUCGUGAUUGUAAGAUAAAAAUAAAAGUAUACUAUUUUGGCAAGUUUAAUAGACUACGUAUCGUGUCCGUUUACUUGAGCAUCGUUAAUUUCUACGAGUAUCAUCUCAGCAGCAUUAUUUUGAGCAAUUAUUUAUUUGGACGAGCUUUUUUUCAGCGUCGUUCAUUUCAGUGACCUUUUCAUAUAGUAAACAUUACAAGAUGAAUUAUGUCAUUAUUUAACGUCAUCACUCAGCGAAGCUGUGUUUAAAAUCAAAUGGAAGAAAUUUAGCAAAAGUAUAAGCUCUUAUCAGAUUUCGUCUCAACUCCGCAAACUUCUGUGGAUGGAUGAAUUUACACAACUUAUUGAGUGGGAUGGCAUUCAAACAUUUCGAUCGAUAAGUACUUGCGAUGUAGGAUCUUUAAAAAAUGAUGACCAUUCUUCGAUCAUUUUCGUUGUCCAAUGUUAUUAUAUUCUUUUUAGGAAAAGGCUUCAAGGGAGUUGGGACGUGAAAAUUACAAUUCUCUUGGAUACCUUUUAUAGCAAAUAUACUUGGAAAAAAAAAAAAAAAAAAUAUCAACUACCUAUUAAGUAAUAAUAGUGCUUUUUUCAUCAGUGAUUCGUAUUUUUUAUGAAAUUUUGCAUAUACUUAAGUUCUUUUAUAUAAUGUUAAAAAUUAAUAAUCUUAAAGAAAAUAAUCAGAUAAGCUCCCAAAAAUUCUAUUUAUAUCAAUGCCAAAAUAAACAAAUGAUUUAAUAAUA
rnacentral:lncRNA from 1 species